UUCCCUGGUGGUCUAGUGGUUAGUAUUCGGCACUUUAACUGCCGUGGCCCAGGUUCAAUCCCUGGUGGGGAAA
rnacentral:tRNA from 1 species